GAGACAGCAGUAGCCACGGUAAUACGUAGGUGGCAAGCGUUGUCCGGAAUUAUUGGGCGUAAAGGGCUCGCAGGCGGUUUCUUAAGUCUGAUGUGAAAGCCCCCGGCUCAACCGGGGAGGGUCAUUGGAAACUGGGAAACUUGAGUGCAGAAGAGGAGAGUGGAAUUCCACGUGUAGCGGUGAAAUGCGUAGAGAUGUGGAGGAACACCAGUGGCGAAGGCGACCCUCUGGUCUGUAACUGACGCUGAGGAGCGAAAGCGUGGGGAGCGAACAGGAUUAGAGACCCCAGUAGUCCCUGUCUCUUAUAC
rnacentral:rRNA from 1 species